rnacentral:rRNA from 1 species
GACGAACGCUGGCGGCGUGCUUAACACAUGCAAGUCGAACGCUGAAGCUCAGCUUGCUGGGUGGAUGAGUGGCGAACGGGUGAGUAACACGUGAGUAACCUGCCCUCUUCUUUGGGAUAACGCCCGGAAACGGGUGCUAAUACUGGAUAUUCACUGAUUCUCGCAUGGGGGUUGGUGGAAAGGUUUUUUCUGGUGGGGGAUGGGCUCGCGGCCUAUCAGCUUGUUGGUGGGGUGAUGGCCUACCAAGGCUUUGACGGGUAGCCGGCCUGAGAAGGUGACCGGUCACAUUGGGACUGAGAUACGGCCCAGACUCCUACGGGAGGCAGCAGUGGGGAAUAUUGCACAAUGGGCGAAAGCCUGAUGCAGCGACGCCGCGUGAGGGAUGGAGGCCUUCGGGUUGUAAACCUCUUUCGCUCAUGGUCAAGCCGCAGCUUUGGGUUGUGGUGAGGGUAGUGGGUAAAGAAGCGCCGGCUAACUACGUG